UGGGGAAUAUUGCACAAUGGAGGGAACUCUGAUGCAGCGACGCCGCGUGAACGAAGAAGGCUUUCGAGUCGUAAAGUUCUUUUAUAUGGGAAGAUAAUGACGGUACCAUAAGAAAAAGCCCCGGCUAACUACGUGCCAGCAGCCGCGGUAAUACGUAGGGGGCUAGCGUUGUCCGGAAUCACUGGGCGUAAAGGGUUCGCAGGCGGAAAUGCAAGUCAGGUGUAAAAGGCAGUAGCUUAACUACUGUAAGCAUUUGAAACUGCAUAUCUUGAGAAGUGGAGAGGUAAGUGGAAUUCCUAGUGUAGCGGUGAAAUGCGUAGAUAUUAGGAGGAAUACCUGUGGCGAAGGCGACUUACUGGACACAAAUCUGACGCUGAGGAACGAAAGCGUGGGUAGCAAACAGG
rnacentral:rRNA from 1 species